UCCCUGGUGGCUCAGAUGGUAAAGAAUCCGCCUGCAAUGCGGGAGACCUGGGUUCGAUUCCUGGGUUGGGAA
rnacentral:tRNA from 1 species